rnacentral:rRNA from 1 species
ACGGGUUCCCCAAGUUUGCGAUCUUUAGGGGGCCUGAGAGGGUGUUCCCCCACACUGGUACUGAGACACGGACCCAGAUUCUUACGGGAGGCAGCAGUGAGGAAUAUUGGACAAUGGGUGCGAGCCUGAUCCAGCCAUCCCGCGUGAAGGAUGACGGCCCUAUGGGUUGUAAACUUCUUUUGUAUAGGGAUAAACCUACCCUCGUGAGGGUAGCUGAAGGUACUAUACGAAUAAGCACCGGCUAACUCCGUGCCAGCAGCCGCGGUAAUACGGAGGGUGCAAGCGUUAUCCGGAUUUAUUGGGUUUAAAGGGUCCGUAGGCGGAUCUGUAAGUCAGUGGUGAAAUCUCACAGCUUAACUGUGAAACUGCCAUUGAUACUGCAGGUCUUGAGUGUUGUUGAAGUAGCUGGAAUAAGUAGUGUAGCGGUGAAAUGCAUAGAUAUUACUUAGAACACCAAUUGCGAAGGCAGGUUACUAAGCAACAACUGACGCUGAUGGACGAAAGCGUGGGGAGCGAACAGGAUUAGAUACCCUGGUAGUCCACGCCGUAAACGAUGCUAACUCGUUUUUGGUAUUUCGGUAUCAGAGACUAAGCGAAAGUGAUAAGUUAGCCACCUGGGGAGUACGAACGCAAGUUUGAAACUCAAAGGAAUUGACGGGGGCCCGCACAAGCGGUGGAUUAUGUGGUUUAAUUCGAUGAUACGCGAGGAACCUUACCAAGGCUUAAAUGGGAAAUGACAGGCUUAGAAAUAGGCUUUUCUUCGGACAUUUUUCAAGGUGCUGCAUGGUUGUCGUCAGCUCGUGCCGUGAGGUGUUAGGUUAAGUCCUGCAACGAGCGCAACCCCUGUCACUAGUUGCCAUCAUUAAGUUGGGGACUCUAGUGAGACUGCCUACGCAAGUAGAGAGGAAGGUGGGGAUGACGUCAAAUCAUCACGGCCCUUACGCCUUGGGCCACACACGUAAUACAAUGGCCGGUACAGAGGGCAGCUACACAGCGAUGUGAUGCAAAUCUCGAAAGCCGGUCUCAGUUCGGAUUGGAGUCUGCAACUCGACUCUAUGAAGCUGGAAUCGCUAGUAAUCGCGCAUCAGCCAUGGCGCGGUGAAUACGUUCCCGGGCCUUGUACACACCGCCCGUCAAGCCAUGGAAGUACUGGGGUACCUGAAGUCGGUGACCGUAACAG